AGUGAACGCUGGCGGUAGGCCUAACACAUGCCAGUCGAACGGUAGCACAGUAAGAGCUUGCUCUUACGGGUGGCGAGUGGCGGACGGGUGAGGAAUACAUCGGAACCUACUUUUUCGUGGGGGAUAACGUAGGGAAACUUACGCUAAUACCGCAUACGACCUACGGGUGAAAGCAGGGGAUCUUCGGGCCUUGCGCGAUUGAAUGAGCCGAUGUCGGAUUAGCUAGUUGGCGGGGUAAAGGCCCACCAAGGCGACGAUCCGUAGCUGGUCUGAGAGGAUGAUCAGCCACACUGGAACUGAGACACGGUCCAGACUCCUACGGGAGGCAGCAGUGGGGAAUAUUGGACAAUGGGCGCAAGCCUGAUCCAGCCAUACCGCGUGGGUGAAGAAGGCCUUCGGGUUGUAAAGCCCUUUUGUUGGGAAAGAAAAGCAGCAGGUUAAUACCCCGCUGUUCUGACGGUACCCAAAGAAUAAGCACCGGCUAACUUCGUG
rnacentral:rRNA from 1 species